rnacentral:rRNA from 1 species
GAAGGGACCUAGCGUAGUUCGGAAUUACUGGGCUUAAAGAGUUCGUAGGUGGUUGAAAUAGUUGGUGGUGAAAUCCCAGAGCUUAACUCUGGAACUGCCAUCAAAACUUUUCAGCUAGAGUAUGAUAGAGGAAAGCAGAAUUUCUAGUGUAGAGGUGAAAUUCGUAGAUAUUAGAAAGAAUACCAAUUGCGAAGGCAGCUUUCUGGAUCAUUACUGACACUGAGGAACGAAAGCAUGGGUAGCGAAGAGGAUUAGAUACCCUCGUAGUCCAUGCCGUAAACGAUGUGUGUUAGACGUUGGAAAUUUAUUUUCAGUGUCGCAGGGAAACCGAUAAACACACCGCCUGGGGAGUACGACCGCAAGGUUAAAACUCAAAUGAAUUGACGGGGACCCGCACAAGUAGUGGAGCAUGUGGUUUAAUUCGAAGAUACGCGCAGAACCUUACCAACACUUGACAUGUUCGUCGCGACUUUAAGAGAUUAAAGUUUUCGGUUCGGCCGGACGAAACACAGGUGCUGCAUGGCUGUCGUCAGCUCGUGUCGUGAGAUGUUGGGUUAAGUCCCGCAACGAGCGCAACCCUCACUUUUAGUUGCCAUCAUUAAGUUGGGCACUCUGAAAGAACUGCCAGUGAUAAGCUGGAGGAAGGUGGGGAUGACGUCAAGUCCUCAUGGCCCUUACGUGUUGGGCUACACACGUGCUACAAUGGUAUCUACAACAGGAAGCAAGACUGCGAAGUUAAGCAAAUCCCUAAAAGAUACCUCAGUUCGGAUUGCACUCUGCAACUCGAGUGCAUGAAGCUGGAAUUACUAGUAAUCGUGGAUCAGCGUGCCACGGUGAAUGCGUUCCCGGGUCUU